rnacentral:rRNA from 1 species
AUUGAACGCUGGCGGCAGGCCUAACACAUGCAAGUCGAACGGAGUGGCGGACGGGUGAGUAAUGUCUGGGAAACUGCCCGAUGGAGGGGGAUAACUACUGGAAACGGUAGCUAAUACCGCAUACUAUCAGAUGAGCCUAGUUCGGAUUAGCUAGUUGGUGGGGUAAAGGCCUACCAAGGCGACGAUCCUGAACUGGUCUGAGAGGAGGAUCAGGCACACUGGAACGUAGACACGGUCCAGACUCCUACGGGAGGCAGCAGUGGGGAAUAUUGGACAAUGGGCGAAAGCCUGAUCCAGCCAUGCCGCGUGUGUGAAGAAGGUCUUCGGAUUGUAAAGCACUUUAAGUUGGGAGGCGUUACCAACAGAAUAAGCACCGGCUAACUCCGUGCCAGCAGCCGCGGUAAUAC